rnacentral:rRNA from 1 species
ACGGCUACCACAUCUAAGGAAGGCAGCAGGCGCGCAAAUUACCCAAUUCUAACAGCAUAAGAGAGGUAGUGACAAGAAAUAACAAUACAAGGUAAUUAAAUUGCUUUGUAAUUGGAAUGAUAGAAAUUUAAACACUUUUUAAAGUAUCAAUUGGAGGGCAAGUCUGGUGCCAGCAGCCGCGGUAAUUCCAGCUCCAAUAGCGUAUAUUAAAAUUGUUGCAGUUAAAAAGCUCGUAGUUGAAUUUCUGUUAAAAAUAACCGGUCUGCUUUUAUUAAAAGUGGUA